rnacentral:rRNA from 1 species
GAUGAACGCUAGCGGCAGGCUUAAUACAUGCAAGUCGAGGGGCAGCAGGUUUGUAGCAAUACAAAUGCUGGCGACCGGCAAACGGGUGCGGAACACGUACGCAACCUCCCUUUAACUGGAAGAUAGCCCACCGAAAGGUGGAUUAAUACUCCAUAAUAUAACUGAAUGGCAUCAUUUAGAUAUUAAAGCUCCGGCGGUUAAAGAUGGGCGUGCGUCUGAUUAGGUAGUUGGCGGGGUAACGGCCCACCAAGCCUGCGAUCAGUAGCUGAUGUGAGAGCAUGAUCAGCCACACGGGCACUGAGACACGGGCCCGACUCCUACGGGAGGCAGCAGUAAGGAAUAUUGGUCAAUGGACGCAAGUCUGAACCAGCCAUGCCGCGUGGAGGAUGAAGGCCCUCUGGGUUGUAAACUUCUUUUCUUUGGGACGAAACCCCUGUUUCUACGGGGACUGACGGUACCAGAGGAAUAAGCACCGGCUAACUCCGUGCCAGCCGCCGCGGUAAAAC